CGGGAUAUAGCUCAGCUUGGUAGAGCACCUGCUUUGGGAGCAGGGGGUCGUAGGUUCAAAUCCUACUAUCCCGA
rnacentral:tRNA from 21 species